GAGCUGGGGGGCGUGCUUACCAUGCAAGUCGAACGAUGAAGCCCAGCUUGCUGGGUGGAUUAGUGGCGAACGGGUGAGUAACACGUGAGUAACCUGCCCUUGACUCUGGGAUAAGCCUGGGAAACUGGGUCUAAUACCGGAUAGGAACGUCCACCGCAUGGUGGUUGUUGGAAAGAUUUAUCGGUCAUGGAUGGACUCGCGGCCUAUCAGCUUGUUGGUGAGGUAAUGGCUCACCAAGGCGACGACGGGUAGCCGGCCUGAGAGGGUGACCGGCCACACUGGGACUGAGACACGGCCCAGACUCCUACGGGAGGCAGCAGUGGGGAUUAUUGCACAAUGGGCGAAAGCCUGAUGCAGCGACGCCGCGUGAGGGAUGACGGCCUUCGGGUUGUAAACCUCUUUCAGUAGGGAAGAAGCGAAAGUGACGGUACCUGCAGAAGAAGCACCGGCUAACUACGUGCCAGCAGCCGCGGUAAUACGUAGGGUGCGAGCGUUAUCCGGAAUUAUUGGGCGUAAAGAGCUCGUAGGCGGUUUGUCGCGUCUGUCGUGAAAGUCCGGGGCUUAACCCCGGAUCUGCGGUGGGUACGGGCAGACUAGAGUGCAGUAGGGGAGACUGGAAUUCCUGGUGUAGCGGUGGAAUGCGCAGAUAUCAGGAGGAACACCGAUGGCGAAGGCAGGUCUCUGGGCUGUAACUGACGCUGAGGAGCGAAAGCAUGGGGAGCGAACAGGAUUAGAUACCCUGGUAGUCCAUGCCGUAAACGUUGGGCACUAGGUGUGGGGACCAUUCCACGGUUUCCGCGCCGCAGCUAACGCAUUAAGUGCCCCGCCUGGGGAGUACGGCCGCAAGGCUAAAACUCAAAGGAAUUGACGGGGGCCCGCACAAGCGGCGGAGCAUGCGGAUUAAUUCGAUGCAACGCGAAGAACCUUACCAAGGCUUG
rnacentral:rRNA from 1 species